GUGUGCAGGGGUGUGUGUGUAGGGGUGUGCGGGCAAGGGUGUGUGUGCAGGGGUGUAUGUGCAAGGGUGUGUGUGUCUCCAUGCAUGUGUGUGCAGGGGUGUGUGUGCAGGGGGGUGUGUGCGUGGGGCUGUGUGUGCAGGGGUGUGUGUGCAUAGCGGUGUGUGUGCAGGGGUGUGUGCGCGCAGGGGUGUGUGCGUGUGCACAUCUGUUUAUGUUUCUGUGCACAUGCCUGCACAUCUGUGUGUACAGGGGGGUGUACAGGUGUGUGUAUGUAUGCAUGUCUGUGUGUGCCUCUGUGUGCAUGUCGGUGUGUGUAUGUGUAUGUGUCCGUGUGGGGCAUGCAGGUAUGUAUGUGUGCAUGCAAGUCUGAUACUUGAAUCCAGUAGAAACCAGAGAGGAGGAGAAGCUGGUGUUAGCUCUCUCUUCAUGA
rnacentral:lncRNA from 1 species